GACAGAGGAGGCAAGCGUUGUUCGGAAUUACUGGGCUUAAAGCGCGCGUAGGCGGCUUCGCAAGUGUCUUGUGAAAUCCCCCGGCUCAACCGGGGAACUGCUGGGCAAACUGCGGAGCUUGAGGUCGGUAGAGGUGCCUGGAACUCUAGGUGGAGCGGUGAAAUGCGUAGAUAUCUAGAGGAACGCCUGAGGCGAAAGCGGGGCACGUGGGCCGAUUCUGACGCUGAUGCGCGAAAGCGUGGGGAGCAAACAGG
rnacentral:rRNA from 1 species